CAAAAUUUAUUGACUUAUAUACACAUACAGUAUAAUUUUUUACCCCACAUUAUUCUUGUAUUAGAACAACAUCUUCGGUUCAAAAGGAAUCGUAUACGAAAAUUGCAAAUAAAGAACAUGUGAGAUUUGAUCACAAAGUUCAGUCAAUGGUACAUACUUCUUUGACCGUCGAACAAGUGCAAUAUCUUUCUAUUAUGAUUAUAGUUUGGGACUAUAUAUUACAACCUGUGUUUAAAUACUGCAAUCCAACUUACAAGAUU
rnacentral:lncRNA from 1 species